ACGGGGGGAGCAAGCGUUGUUCGGAAUCACUGGGCGUAAAGGGCGUGUAGGCGGUCAGGUAAGUGGAAUGUGAAAGCCCCCGGCUCACCCGGGGAUCUGCAUCCCAUACUGCCUGGCUUGAGUACGGGAGAGGAUAGGGGAAUUCCUGGUGUAGCGGUGAAAUGCGUAGAUAUCAGGAGGAACACCGGUGGCGAAGGCGCCUAUCUGGCCCGAUACUGACGCUGAGGCGCGAAAGCUAGGGGAGCAAGCGGGA
rnacentral:rRNA from 1 species